rnacentral:misc_RNA from 1 species
CUGGCGGUACCUGCCAUUACGGUGUACGGGUAUCGUCGCCAUCAUCAUCCAGAUCCAGGUUUUGGCCCCAGUUCAUUGAUUUGCUUGUUGGUACCGCUAUUGACCAUCCAAUGCAGUGUUCUCAAGGUCCAAAGUACGUGGACCUUCAGUUGGUGUAAUCAGAAGCAAUAUCCAAGAUAUUCAUCAUGCACUUCUACAAAAUUUAGCCAUGUGUUCUGUUUGACAAGGAGAAGGAAACAGGAACAAGGUCGGAGGAGAAGAGAAACUCAACUCCAGCUAAUGACAAGCCCAUGUGUGCAUUGUGAUAGACACUGCUCUGGGGUCUGUUUAUGCGCAACAACGGUUUAUGAGAGGAGAGGUGGCCCCCAUCUGUGGCCGCAAAGGAGCUUGGCCAACUGCGACAACGACAUCCUGGCUCUGGUUGUGAUAGUGAUGCUCCGACCUCAGUUCGAAGGCAACCUUGACUACAAAAGGUCACUGACGGCGUGCCGUAGUAGCGCAGGGGCGGACAGGGUCCGAGUCCGAGGCACGGAUAUCUGGAUUGGGAUUUUGGGAUCUGUGGCCAUCUGGGGAAGACAGAAGACGGGACGGGACAGCAAGCCAGCAGCGGCUGAGGAGAGGAACCGAGGAUGA